rnacentral:rRNA from 1 species
UUCCGGUUGAUCCUGGCGGACCCCACUGCUAUCGGGAUAGGACUAAGACAUGCUAGUCGAGCGCUUCCUAGCCAAUUUGGGAGCGCGGCACACAGCUCAGUAACACGUGGCUAACCUGCCCUUGGGACCAGAAUACCCCCGGGAAACUGGGGCCAAUUCUCGAUAGGUGAAGAACUCUGGAAUGAGUCUUCGCUUAAAAGAGGCUGGGGUUAUGCUCUCCAGUUUCGCCCAAGGAUGGGGCCGCGACCGAUCAGGUUGUUGGUGAGGUAAUGGCUCACCAAGCCUUUUACCGGUGCGGGCCGUGAGAGCGGGAGCCCGGAGAUGGGCACUGAGACAAGGGCCCAGGCCCUACGGGGCGCAGCAGUCGCGAAAACUUUGCAAUAAGCGAAAGCUUGACAGGGCUAUCCCGAGUGCCAUCCGCUGAGGAAGGCUUUUACCCAGUCUAGAACGCUGGGGGAAUAAGGAGAGGGCAAGUCUGGUGUCAGCCGCCGCGGUAAUACCAGCUCUCCGAGUGGUGUGGAUGUUUAUUGGGCCUAAAGCAUCCGUAGCUGGCUAGGUUAGUCCCCUGUUAAAUCCACCGAAUUAAUCGUUGGAUUGCGGGGGAUACUGCUUGGCUAGGGGACGAGAGAGGCAGACGGUAUUUCCGGGGUAGGGGUGAAAUCCUAUAAUCCCGGGAAGACCACCAGUGGCGAAGGCUGUCUGCUAGAACGCGCCCGACGGUGAGGGAUGAAAGCUGGGGGAGCGAACCGGAUUAGAUACCCGGGUAGUCCCAGCUGUAAACGAUGCAGACUAG